UUUAAUUUAAUUUAAUUUAAUUUAAAUAAGGUAUUUUAUACCUCUAGUUCGAGAUAGAAGAGGUUAAUAUCCUCUAAUUAAAA
rnacentral:tRNA from 1 species